UCGUAGUGGUCUCUGACUUGUGGUCAGACUCGCUCAGGUGGAACAAACUUAAUCUACACCUUUUUCAAUGCUGAGUUGAAUGUCAUUCAGAAAUGUAAAAGUAAUCCCAGAAGUAAACUAGUUUUUCUAAACUAUCUGUAAUCCGAAUACAAUAUUUUAGCUGGUAACAUAACUGAUUAGCUGGUACCACAACUCAGCUCAGCAGGGCAAAUGACAAGCUGAUUAGGGGCAGGAUUCCCAGUUUCUGUCCUCCAGAUUAGACCUUCUUCAGCUGGGGACAGGCUGAUGACACCGGACUGCAGGUUCAGCUUCGACACAGGAGACCUGACCACAAAGGAAUGUUAACCCACAAAAAUCCCACAAUUACUUCAAUAACCAACUCACCAUCCCAUCCCCCACAUACUUUCUAAGCACGGUAGGGAGCUUAUUCAAAGAACACCAACCUUUAAGUGUCACAUAACCUCUAGGUUCUCCCAUUAUGAAAACAUUGAAACAAACCUGUACAAACUCAUUGGUCAUGUGUGAGGAGUGAGGACAAUGUCAUUGGGCAGAGGUUGUGUUUCUCUGAGUAACAGUCUGUUUCAUCUACAAUCAAAGAGUGAGGUUUACAGUCCCUCACAAAGAGAAAGAGAGCAAUGGAGAACAUCUUCUCCUCCCAGCCUAGAACGGCUGCCAUUUCUCUGCCUUUUUUGGUCCGGAGCCACCGGCCAUCCAGCAAUGAUGAUAAUAACAGACCAUAGUUAAAGAAAACGUCACAAGCAGAGGGCAGUAGGAAGAACAGUAAGGCGUUUAUUUAGCCUUGUUACAGCAUCCCCCCCAGCUGAGACAAAACACAAUUUCUCCCACCAUUCUACAAAUGUAAAAAUUGCAACAACCAAAAAUUGUCCUCCAAAGAGAGAAACUGGGUAACAAUGGGGGAUAAGAUACUAUUAUUUCAAUCCUGAAUGAUGCAAGAACAUAUCAGUAGCAUGCUUAGAGCGAUUGUACAUGACAGAUUAAGAGUGAACCUCUGACAUCUCUUCACAGCCCUGUGAAGAGACCCUCAGCAAUCAGCAGCCUAUUUAUAGAAUCCCACUUAGCCUGCUCUUCCCUCCCUCUGUUAGUGUGUGUUAGGGAUGUGUGGGUUUGUGUGUAUACAUUCAAAGUCUACGAAAGACUGGAAAUAG